UACGGGGGGGGCAAGCGUUGUUCGGAAUUACUGGGCGUAAAGGGCUCGUAGGCGGCCAACUAAGUCGGAUGUGAAAUCCCCAGGCUUAACCUGGGAACUGCAUCCGAUACUGGAUGGCUUGAAUCCGGGAGAGGGAUGCAGAAUUCCAGGUGUAGCGGUGAAAUGCGUAGAUAUCUGGGAGAUACCGGUGGCGAAGGCGGCAUCCUGGACCGGCAUUGACGCUGAUGAGCGAAAGCUAGGGGAGCAAACGGG
rnacentral:rRNA from 1 species